rnacentral:rRNA from 1 species
GGGCCCGCACCAGCGGGGGAGCAUGUGGUUUAAUUCUACGCAGCGCGAACAACCUUACCAGGGCUUGACAUCUACAGAAUUCCAAGGAAACUUGGGAGUGCCUUUCGGGGAACUGUAAGACAGGUGGUGCAUGGUUGUCGUCAGCUUGUGUCGUGAGAUGUUGGGUUAAGUCCCGCAACGAGCGCAACCCCUGUGUUUAGUUGCUAACGAGUAAGGUCGAGCACUCUAGACAGACUGCCGGUGAUAAACCGGAGGAAGGUGGGGAUGACGUCAAAUCAUCAUGCCCCUUAUGUUCUGGGCUACACACGUGCUACAAUGGCCAGUACAGACGGAAGCGAAGCCGCGAGGUGGAGCAAAUCCGAGAAAGAUGGUCUCAGUUCGGAUUGCAGGCUGCAACUCGCCUGCAUGAAGUCGGAAUCGCUAGUAAUCGCAGGUCAGCAUACUGCGGUGAAUACGUUCCCGGGCCUUGUACACACCGCCCGUCACACCACGAAAGUCUGCAACACCCGAAGCCGGUGAGGUAACCCGUAAGGGAGCUAGCCGUCGAAGGUGGGGCCGAUAAUUGGGGUG